rnacentral:rRNA from 1 species
UACGGAGGGUGCGAGCGUUGUCCGGAAUUACUGGGCGUAAAGGGCGUGUAGGCGGUUUGUUAAGUCUGAUGUUAAAGGUUGGGGCUCAACCCCGGCAUGGCGUUGGAUACUGGCAGGCUUGACGGCUGGAGAGGCGAGUGGAAUUGCCAGUGUAGCGGUGAAAUGCGUAGAUACUGGUAGGAACACCUAUUGCGAAGGCAGCUCGCUGGACAGUUCGUGACGCUGUGGCGCGAAAGUGUGGGGAGCAAACCGG